rnacentral:rRNA from 1 species
AGCUCCAAUAGCGUAUAUUUAAGUUGUUGCAGUUAAAAAGCUCGUAGUUGGAUUUCUGCCAGGCGGCGUAGGUCUGCCUUUCGGUGUGUACUUGCGUCGUUUGGUAUUUAAUCGGGGUGGGCGUUGCACUUGAUUGUGUGACGUUUGGCUCGGUGCAGAUACUUUGAGUUAAGGUUAGUGUUCCAAGCAGGCGUUUGCCGUGAUAUUUGCAGCAUGGGAUAUCGAGACAGGACUUCGGUCCUAUCUUGUUGGUUCUCGGGAUCGAAGUAAUGAUUAAUAGGGAUAGUUGGGGGCAUUCGUAUUUAACUGUCAGAGGUGAAAUUCUUGGAUUUGUUAAAGACGAACUACUGCGAAAGCAUUUGCCAAGGAUGUUUUCA